GAUGAACGCUGGCGGCGUGCCUAAUACAUGCAAGUCGAGCGAACAGACGAGGAGCUUGCUCCUCUGACGUUAGCGGCGGACGGGUGAGUAACACGUGAAUAACCUACCUAUAAGACUGGGAUAACUUCGGGAAACCGGAGCUAAUACCGGAUAAUAUAUUGAACCGCAUGGUUCAAUAGUGAAAGACGGUUUUGCUGUCACUUAUAGAUGGAUCCGCGCUGCAUUAGCUAGUUGGUAAGGUAACGGCUUACCAAGGCAACGAUGCAUAGCCGACCUGAGAGGGUGAUCGGCCACACUGGAACUGAGACACGGUCCAGACUCCUACGGGAGGCAGCAGUAGGGAAUCUUCCGCAAUGGGCGAAAGCUUGACGGAGCAACGCCGCGUGAGUGAUGAAGGUCUUCGGAUCGUAAAACUCUGUUAUUAGGGAAGAACAUAUGUGUAAGUAACUAUGCACGUCUUGACGGUACCUAAUCAGAAAGCCACGGCUAACUACGUG
rnacentral:rRNA from 1 species